AUUGAACGCUGGCGGCAGGCCUAACACAUGCAAGUCGAGCGGAUGAGGGGAGCUUGCUCCCUGAUUCAGCGGCGGACGGGUGAGUAAUGCCUAGGAAUCUGCCUAUUAGUGGGGGACAACGUUUCGAAAGGAACGCUAAUACCGCAUACGUCCUACGGGAGAAAGCAGGGGACCUUCGGGCCUUGCGCUAAUAGAUGAGCCUAGGUCGGAUUAGCUUGUUGGGGAGGUAAUGGCUCACCAAGGCGACGAUCCGUAACUGGUCUGAGAGGAUGAUCAGUCACACUGGAACUGAGACACGGUCCAGACUCCUACGGGAGGCAGCAGUGGGGAAUAUUGGACAAUGGGCGAAAGCCUGAUCCAGCCAUGCCGCGUGUGUGAAGAAGGUCUUCGGAUUGUAAAGCACUUUAAGUUGGGAGGAAGGGUUGUAGAUUAAUACUCUGCAAUUUUGACGUUACCGACAGAAUAAGCACCGGCUAACUCUGUGCCAGCAGCCGCCGUAA
rnacentral:rRNA from 1 species